CGGGAGAAUGGAUACACGAGUCUCGACAAGAUAAGAUUACUCGUCACAUAAUUCUUCCAAAAAAAAAAAGUGCUUUCUGAUGACUGUAACUUGUGAAGUAUUAUUUUACAGACAGAUACGGAGCAUACAUUU
rfam:Trachymyrmex zeteki contig4352, whole genome shotgun sequence.